rnacentral:rRNA from 1 species
CUGCAGCUCGAGUGGUGAUCCUUAUUAUUGGGCCUAAAACGUUCGUAGCCGGUUUAGUAAAUGCCUGGGUAAAUUGUGUAGCUUAACUAUACGACUUCCGGGUAGACUGCUAAACUUGGGACCGGGAGAGGCUAGAGGUACUCCUGGGGUAGAGGUGAAAUUCUGUAAUCCUAGGGGGACCACCAGUGGCGAAGGCGUCUAGCUAGAACGGGUCUGACGGUGAGGGACGAAGCCCUGGGGCGCGAACCGGAUUAGAUACCCGAGUAGUCC